rnacentral:misc_RNA from 1 species
CUCUUCUAAUCAAAAUUAGCAGGUAUGUCCAAUUCUGUAUCUGAAGGGUUACCAAGCUCAGCCAGGGGCUCCUGCUCAUCAUCAUCUGCCGAAGAGUGGACAACUCCCAUUGGCAAAGUGCUAGUAAGAUCUUCAGUAGCUUCUUGCAAAACUACUUCUGGAUUAACAGAGGGAUUGUUGGAUCCUUCAGUUACAGCUUUAGAAGGAUCUUCAGGAGUUCCAUGUUCAUCCUGGUUGCCUGAAAAUUCUCCNNNNNGACAUCAAUCGGGGUUUCGGGUUCAAUUUGUUCUGGAGGAACAUUCCUUCCUCCUUUGCGG